rnacentral:rRNA from 1 species
AUGGAGAUGAAACCCAAAAGAUUUUCGUUGGGGCGUAACCCUCUCAGCGACGCGCCACAUCGGAACCCGGGUGUGGUGGAAAAUGGGCAAGGGCCGGGCCGUCACCCCCCAAGUGGCGCGCCGUAUCUUGAUCCGGAUACGGUGGCAAGUGAGCGAGGAUCGGGUCGUCGCAUCCUUAGUGGCGCGCUACAUCGGCGCCCGGAUGUAGUGGAAAAUGAGCAAGGGUCUUCGCAUUUGACUCGACGAGUGCGAAGGGUAAGGAAGCUAGCCGAGCCUAGGAGGAUUCGCUUAGGUAGCUGGAACGUAGGGUCUCUGACAGGGAAGCUUCGGGAGCUAGUUGAUGCAGCAGUGAGGAGAGGUGUUGAUAUCCUUUGCGUCCAAGAAACAAAAUGGAGAGGACAGAAGGCGAAGGAGUUGGAGGAUACCGGCUUCAAGCUGUGGUACACGGGGACGGCUGCAAACAGAAAUGGCGUAGGCAUCUUGAUCAACAAGAGCCUCAAGUAUGGAGUGGUAGACGUCAGGAGACGUGGGGACCGGAUUAUCCUGGUCAAGCUGGUAGCUGAGGACUUGGUUCUCAAUGUUAUCAGCGCAUAUGCCCCGCAAGUAGGCCACAAUGAGAACACCAAGAGGGAGUUCUGGGAAGGCUUGGAAGACAUGGUUAGGAGUGUACCGAUUGGUGAGAAGCUCUUCAUAGGAGGAGACCUCAAUGGCCACGUGGGUACAUCUAACACAGGUUUUGAAGGGGCGCAUGGGGGCUUUGGCUAUGGCAUCAGGAAUCAAGAAGGAGAAGAUGUCUUAAGCUUUGCUCUAGCCUACAACAUGAUUGUAGCUAACACCCUCUUUAGAAAGAGACAAUCACAUCUGGUGACUUUUAGUAGUGGCCAACACUCUAGCCAGAUUGAUUUCAUCCUCUCGAGAAGAGAAGAUAGGCGUGCGUGCCUAGACUGUAAGGUGAUACCUGGGGAGAGUGUUGUACCCCAGCAUAAGCUGGUGGUUGCUGACUUCCGCUUUCGGAUUCGUGUCCAGCGGGAUAAGCGUGCCAAGGUCGCUAGAACGAAGUGGUGGAAGCUCAAGGGGGAGGUAGCUCAGGUGUUCAAGGAGAGGGUAUUUAAGGAGGGCCCUUGGGAGGAAGGAGGGGAUGCGGACAAUGUGUGGAUGAAGAUGGCGACUUGCAUUCGUAAGGUGGCCUCGGAGGAGUUUGGAGUGUCCAGGGGAAGGAGAAGCGAAGAUAAGGAUACCUGGUGGUGGAAUGAUGAUGUCCAGAAGGCGCUUAAAGAGAAGAAAGAUUGCUUCAGACGCCUAUACCUGGAUAGGAGUGCAGACAACAUAGAGAAGUACAAGAUGGCGAAGAAGGCCGCAAAGCGAGCUGUUGGUGAAGUAAGGGGUCGGGCAUAUGAGGACCUCUACCAACGGUUAGGCACGAAGGAAGGUGAAAGGGACAUCUAUAAGAUGGCUAAGAUCCGGGAGAGGAAGACGAGGGAUAUUGGCCAAGUCAAAUGCAUCAAGGACGGAGCAGGCCAACUCUUGGUGAAGGACGAAGAGAUUAAGCAUAGAUGGCGGGAGUACUUCGACAAGCUGUUCAAUGGGGAGAAUGAGAGUUCUACCAUUGAACUGAAUGACUCCUUUGAUGAGACCAGCAUGCGUUUUGUGCGGCGCAUCCAGGAGUCUGAGGUGAAGGAGGCUUUAAAAAGGAUGAAAGGAGGCAAGGCGAUGGGCCCUGAUUGUAUCCCCAUUGAGGUGUGGAAAGGUCUCGGGGACAUAGCGAUAGUAUGGCUAACCAAGCUUUUGAACCUCAUUUUUCGGGCAAACAAGAUGCCAGAAGAAUGGAGACGGAGUAUAUUAGUACCAAUCUUCAAGAACAAGGGGGAUGUUCAGAGUUGUACUAAUUACCGUGGAAUUAAGCUGAUGAGCCAUACAAUGAAGCUAUGGGAGAGAGUCAUUGAGCACCGCUUAAGAAGAAUGACAAGCGUGACCAAAAAUCAGUUUGGUUUCAUGCCUGGGAGGUCGACCAUGGAAGCCAUUUUCUUGGUACGACAACUUAUGGAGAGAUAUAGGGAGCAUAAGAAGGACUUGCAUAUGGUGUUCAUUGACUUGGAGAAGGCCUAUGAUAAGAUACCGCGGAAUGUCAUGUGGUGGGCCUUGGAGAAACACAAAGUCCCAGCAAAGUACAUUACCCUCAUCAAGGACAUGUACAAUAAUGUUGUGACAAGUGUUCGAACAAGUGAUGUCGACACCGAUGACUUCCCGAUUAAGAUAGGACUGCAUCAGGGGUCAGCUUUGAGCCCUUAUCUUUUUGCAUUGGUGAUGGAUGAGGUCACAAGGGGUAUACAAGGAGAUAUCCCAUGGUGUAUGCUCUUUGCGGAUGAUGUGGUGCUAGUUGACGAUAUAGUCGGACGGGGGUAA